rnacentral:lncRNA from 1 species
CCCCUGGGGAUGCCUAGGGCAAUGGAAGGGAUCACCUAAAAAGGGGUGAUAUCUUAAUAUUAAUGGAAAUGUGAAAUAUGAAGACAAGUACCUAGCUGUUCUACGUUGUUACAAGACCAGAUUGUCGUCCUGAUAUUGCUUGAGCAGCUAAAUCUCAAUAAGCAAUCCAGUAUGUAUGCUACCCGGAGGUAUCACAUUCUAGGAUGGAUGCGACCAGAUUACUAACUAAUUAAUCAACUUUCUGUAAGCUAUAUCGUCUCAUGUAAAGAGGCAUAUGGUCUGAAACAAUGUUGGUAUACAAGCCAACCUUUGAUUCACAACUGAAACAGGUGAACCCAUCUAAGUUGUGUGCUAGUUAAUUUCAGAGGAACUGUGCAGAAGCAAUAAGAUGGAACAGAUGAAGCCACUUACCCGGAAUGGGCAGAGAAGGGCGCGCUAGCUUUCAUCCAAGCAUCACUAUCAGACGACACAAAACCGGCACCUCACAUUGUUGGUAAGUGCCCUGGAGAUAAGUAAGAACAGCUAAUCGCUUUUACUCCUGCAAAGUGUAAAUAAUGAGCCAAGCGGCAUACGAGAGCAAGGCGUCGAAAUUGAUGGCCGGGAGGCGGGCCUUGUCACGGCUGGCGGCGGGGAACAAGCAGAAGAGGACGGCGGCGAGCUCCUGGCCGAAGAGCACGACGCCCGCGCCCUGGGAGCCCAGGAGGCGGAGCCCGAGCGUGGCCCGGGCGCCGGCGUAGUGGUCCUCGAGCAGCUUGGGGAGGCGGGCAAGGCAGGGGAGCACGUCGGCGAACCAUGAGCACAGCUUGAAGUAUGUGUACCUAAUUUAUGAUGGCACAUACAACUGAUAUGAGUAUGCGUAAGUUCGAAACUAGCAUUCUAAUGACUAUAUAAAUCUGUAAGGAUACAAACUGAUAUUCAAUUUGCAUUCAUAAUACAGAGUGAACCAAAUAAUAUUUAAACACAAGGAUACGAGUGACCGUCUAAUUGCUUGUGCAAUUAUAUAUUAAUUAGGGUUAAUUGAAAUAAUAUUAAUGGGUCCAUAGCUCAGUGGUAGAGCAAUUGACUGCAGAUGAAUAGGACACCGGUUCGAACCUGGUUGGGCCCUUUUUUUCUUCUAUUUUUAUUUCCUUUUUCAACUACUGUCUUUGCCUUCAACACUUUCUUCGCAAGUAUUUACUCCCAUGGUCUAAGUUUAACCAUAUCUAGCUUUAUUCCCUUUUCAUCUGUUAUGCAUUUUUGGGCAUGUUGAUUCUUCUUUCUCAGAACCGUUGUGCUUACGCUAGAUGGUUACUGCAAUUCGAAGUUCGAACAGUUCUCAAAUACUUCAAAAUUGAGCUUAUUAUGAUGUGGAGCAUGGUAGACCAAUCUACGCAUUGUUAUUUUUUAGACACGUAGCAAAUAACAUUUCACGAAUCAGGGCCCUUUAAUAGAAUCUAAGAAUGGUCUGCACAACCCAAAAGUAGCAUUCUACAUAAAAGCUAGAACAGGCAGCCCAUGGGUGCAGCUUGAAGUACAUUUCUACCUAAUUUAUGAUGGCGCAUACAACUGGUAUGGGUAUGUGUCCAAGGCAUGCCUGCCAGGCGAUGCUAAUUUGAAAACAAAUAAAUAUUCUAAUAGGCCUUUUGUAAAAGAUACGAAACUCAAUUGAAACAGUUUUGGCAAAUCUGCUCUUCACUCCUCAGAUCUCAUUCCAGAAACUACUCCCAUCUCUUUGAAUACAUCUUCACCCUUUGUGGUUUAGCUGUUGACAUAUUCUUGACAUUUUUCUACCAUAGGCAUGGUGCUAUGAGCAAGUUGAACUUGAUGUACCAUACACCAGUUGCCUGUUCUGAGUUCAUAAAUCCCAAGAUGCCCCCAGAUGUUGGGGGGAAAUUAAUGUCGUUUCCGCGGAUGCAUAGGACAAGUAGCUAUUCUACGUUGUUACAAGACAAGAUUGUUGAGCAGCUAAAUCUCAAUAAGAAAUACAGUAUGCUACCCGGAGGUAUCACAUUCUAGGAUGGAUGCUACCAGAUACUGACUAAUUAAUCAACUUUUUGUAAGCUAUUAUAUCAUCUCAUGUAAAGAGGCAUGUGGUCUGAAACAAUGUUGGUAUACAAGCUCACCUCUGAUUCACAACUGAAACAGGUGAACCCAACUAAGUUGUGUGCUACAGUAGUUAAUUUCAGAGGAACCCUGCAGAAGCAAUAAGAUGGAACAGAUGAAACCACUUACCCGGAAUGGGCAGAGAGGGGCGCGCUACCUUUCAUCCAAGCAUCACUGUCAGACGACGCAAAAUCGUCACCUCACAUUGUUAGUCGGUGCCUUGCCGAUCAAACCCGGAGAUCAGUAACAACAUUUAAUUGCUUUUACCCUGGAGAUCACAUUGUUAGUCAGUGUAAUUAAUGAGCCAAGGGGCAUACGCGAACAAGGCGUCGAAAUUGGUGACCGGCGGUGGGGGACAGGCAGAAGAGCACGGCGGCGGGCUCCUAGCCCAAGAGCACGACGCCCGCGUCCUGGGGGGCCAGGAGGCGGAGCCCGAGCGCGGCCCGGGCGCCGGCGUAGUGGUCCUCGAGCAGCUUCGGGAGGCGGAGGAGGAGGCGGGGGAGCACAUCGGCGAACCAGUCCCGCGUGUGGGCCCGCAAGAGGAGGUCGUCGAAGAAGGGGAGCGUCGGGAGCGCGGUGCUAAGGCAGGAUCGUGAGCGCGAAUCCCUCGGCGGCGCGCGCGGGGAGCGCCGGGAGGGCGAGGGCCUGCCGGAGGUCGUGGAGCGCGCCGGACGCGACCCGGCUGACGUCGGGGCCGGGGGACAGCGCCCUCAUCUGCUCCUGCGCUGCCGCCGGCCAGAAGAGCGCCCCGCCGCGCGGCACCACCGGGAUCGAUCGCAGGUCGCCGCGCGCCUCCAUCAUCUCCAUGGCUGCUGCUCUCUCAACUGCUUUCCCUUCUCUCUCUCUCGCUCUUCUUCCUUUUUUUGAGCGAUAACACAACCGCUUCCUUUUUCUUUUUUGAGAAUACACAACCGCUUCGUAGCUUCGCAUGCUUGGGCCUUAAUUUUUUUUGUAGCGACCAGACCUCAAACAGUCUGAUCUCUGUUCUCAGGUGUCAUCCCUGGAUCAGUAAUGCUGACACCACACAGUACAUCGAAGGAUUUAUAGCAGAGUGGCAAUCACACACUUAUUACAUCGUUGUCUCAAAGAGACUUAUUACAAUAAAUAUGGCUUAAGGCCAUAUAGUGUCGAAAACAGCGGAAGACUUGGAAGGUAAAUGGGACCAUCAACUCCAACGGCAUCACUGAGUAUAGGGCCACGACCUAAAAGCACUUUACUCGUCGUCUGAAAAGUCUGCAACAUAAGAAGUUGCAGCCCGAAUACGGGUCAGCACAUGGAAUAUGCUGCAAAGUAACACAUAGAGAGUAAUGGAAUGAAACAGCUAUACUAUAUGCAUAUAUGGCCGAUGGAAAGCUCUAUGGUUACAGUUUUGCGUAAAGCCAAUUUUUCCCUACUGCAAAGGAAUAAAUUUAUUUAACUAUCAUGGUGGUUGUGAAACAUUGAGAAUGGUUGACAGCAUUCUCAAUCCCAAUUAAGUAACUAAAACCCAACAACAUUAAUUAGAAGUAACAUGUUGAGAUUCAUAGGAUAUUCAAGAACUAGAUACUCAAGUUGUCCAUAACCGGGGACACGGCUAAUCAUGAUUAGUUUGUACACUCUGCAGAGGUUUGCGCACUUUUCCCCACAUGACUCGAUCGUCUCUGUUUGUUUUCCCGCACUACAUGGUGUUUGAAAAACGGAUGACCGAGACAUAGUCUUUCAGAAGCGCUAGCACCUUACAUGUGGGGUAGACCGUGCCACCUACAACCCCUACAUCUGCUAGUCCACCCCGUAAGAGUUCGCACAACUUAGUCAACUAUGCCAGAGCCCAUAGUAGCAUGUGGCUGCACAUGAAAGUUUCUAGCAUGAAUUAUCUUAUGAUCCCUUUGAGCCUGGGUGGCGAUCCGAAAAAAAACAGGCAAGUCCUGAUAGACAUCAGGUGCCUCAAUCCACCCAGAUGUGUGUUUAAGUUGCCACCUUAGAUAAACCAUUAAAAUUAUCAACUCACAUCUGUCAUGGAUUUCACUCACCCAAUCCACAUCUACUAGCAUAGCAUGGCAUAAUAAGCAAACGUAGAAGUAACUCCCAAAGGUUUGAUAAUAAACAGGUAACAGGUACUACCUCAUCUACUUCCCAUCCCACAAUUUAAUUAGAUCCUAAUCAUGCAAUGAGAAAGGAUUGAUCUAAUGCAAUAAAACUGGGUUGUAGAAAAGGUAUGAUCAAAGUGUUACUUGCCUUGCUGAUGAUCCGCGAGACCUAGGGUUUCGAAGUAACAAGCGGAGCAAUCCGGGUGAUCUAUCGCAGACAAACAACAAGCAUACAAUAAGUACUCAUCAAAUGCACAGGUAAAACUCGAACAAGGGAACGAACCAGAAAGUUCAAUUUAAGAACUCCGGUUGCAAAGAAAGAAAGAACCGAACAGACGACGGAAAAACAAACGGCGGAAGAAAACAACUCGGUUCUAGCAAGUUGAAACUAGGUCAAAUUUUACCGGGGCAAAAACUUGUUUAAAUUGAUUAGACGGAACGGCGGUUUCGAAACGAAACUCCAGGCGCUUGAAUCACCUGAUUCCGAUAAACGAGCGAGAAGAAAGACUAGAACGAAGAUCGGAUCUGAGAUCACGAUCGCGGAAUAAAUCCGACGAAAAGAAAAGAAGAACGAUUAAACGAACGGGCGUCGUUAACCGGGGAAAAAUCGGUGAUCACGUUCGUUGAGACGAACGGUCCGAAAGAAGAACGAAAACCGAUCUAGGGUUUUCGAAGAAAAAGACCGAAACGAAAAACCGAUCUAGAAAACCGGAACGGUUUAGAAAAGAACCGGAAAGAAAACGAAUCGGAAGAGAAGAAAAGAAUCGGAACGAUUAGAAGAAAACGAUCCGAGGAAAAGAAAAGAGACGCGGCGCGGUACCUCCGGCGAGGUCUCCGGUGAGGGGCUCCGGCGGCGGCAGCGUUGGGCGGCGGCGGCGGUGGCGUGGGUGAGGGGCGGCGGCGGUGUAGGCAAGGCNNNNNNNNNNNNNNNNNNNNNNNNNNNNNNNNNNNNNNNNNNNNNNNNNNNNNNNNNNNNNNNNNNNNNNNNNNNNNNNNNNNNNNNNNNNNNNNNNNNNNNNNNNNNNNNNNNNNNNNNNNNNNNNNNNNNNNNNNNNNNNNNNNNNNNNNNNNNNNNNNNNNNNNNNNNNNNNNNNNNNNNNNNNNNNNNNNNNNNNNNNNNNNNNNNNNNNNNNNNNNNNNNNNNNNNNNNNNNNNNNNNNNNNNNNNNNNNNNNNNNNNNNNNNNNNNNNNNNNNNNNNNNNNNNNNNNNNNNNNNNNNNNNNNNNNNNNNNNNNNNNNNNNNNNNNNNNNNNNGUGUGGGGCUUGGGGAGGAGAGGGGCUUUUGAUUUGAUGUGUUUAGAGGGGGGGGGUGCUUGGGUAUUUAUAUUGGGGGGGGUUUACUUGGGGUAGGGGACAAGAAAUAGACUAGGAAUAGGAAAAGCAAAACGAAACAAGGAAAGGGGAGGGGCUAACCGACCUAAGUCCCGCUGGGACUCGGCCAGGGAGCGGCGGCGGCUGCCUGGGCGCCAGGCGCCUGGCGCCUGCGCUGCGCGCGAGGGGAGGGGCCGGCUGGCUGGGCCUUUGGCCCGGCUGGCCUGGCGGGAGGCUCCUUUUUUUUAAAUCAGUUCUGCGCAGAAAAACAAAAAGAAAAUCUAAACAACUCCGAAAAAUCUAAAGUAAAUUUUCCCCGACUCAUAAAAAUGAGCCGAACAAAAUGAACUUUUCUCCGGGCCUAAAAUGCAAUUUUGAAAACGCGCAUUUUUCCCUAUCCAAAUAAAACGCAAAUAAAACUCCGGCAAAAACCAAAAUUGAUCUAUUUAUUAAAUCUUCAUUUUUCCUAAAUUUGGGAAAGUCAUAUUAUUCCCUCUCUCAUAUAUUUUGACACCGGAAAAUAAUUGAAGAUAAAAUAAAUAAAUCAAAUGAUCCUCUUUUCAAAAUUUGAGAGAACUCAAAUAUGAAAAUAACGAAAUCUCCAACUCUCUCCGAGGGUCCUUGAGUUGCGUGAAAUUUCUAGGAUCAACCAAAAUGCAAGAAAAUAUGGUAUGCAUGAUGAUCUAUGUAUAACAUUCCAAAAUGUAAAUUUGGGAUGUUACAAACCUACCCCCCUUAAGAUGAAUCUCGCGCUCGAGAUUCGGGUUGGCUAGAAAAUAGGUGAGGGUGGUCCUUGAGCAAAUCUUCUUCUCUCUCCCAGGUGGCUUCAUCCUCUAUGUGGUGGUUCCACUGAACUUUGCAAAACUUGAUAACCUUGCUGCGAGUAACUCUGCUGGCAUAAUCGAGAAUCUUUACUGGCUUCUCCUCAUACGUUAAGUCGUUAUCCAACUGAAUCGCUUCGAGUGGCACUGUAUCUCUUAGCGGUACUUCCGCCAUUUCGGCAUGACAUUUCUUCAGCUGAGAAACAUGGAAUACAUCAUGAACUCCUGACAGUCCCUCUGGUAAUUCCAACUUAUAAGCGACUUCUCCCAUACAUUGCAAGAUCUUAUACAGUCCAAUGAAACGCGGUGCUAAUUUUCCCUUAACUCCAAAACGCUUAACUCCUCGAAGUGGGGAUACUCGAAGAUAAACUCUGUCUCCGGUUUCGUAAACUGUCUCCUUGCAUUUAGAAUCUGCGUAGCUCUUCUGCCUGGACUGGGCUACCUUGAGCCUAUCGCGAAUCAACUUAACUUUCCGUUCAGACUCCUUAAUCAAAUCUGGUCCAAAGAAUUGACGGUCUCCAACUUCGUCCCAUGACAACGGUGUCCUGCACCUCCUUCCGUAUAAAGCUUCGAAAGGUGCCAUCUUCAAACUGGUUUGGUAACUGUUGUUAUAAGAAAACUCCGCAUACGGCAAGUUAUCGUCCCAACUAGAUCCAUAAUCUAGUGCACAAGCUCUCAGCAUAUCUUCCAAAAUCUGAUUGACUCUCUCGGUCUGUCCAUCUGUCUGCAGAUGAAAAGCUGUGCUGAACUCUAGUCUGGUUCCUAAAGUUUCAUGCAACUGAUUCCAAAACUUUGAGGUAAAUUGGGUUCCUCUAUCUGAUACGAUACUCCUUGGAACUCCAUGCAAACAAAUGAUCCUAGUCAUGUAGAUCUUUGCCAAAUUAGCACUGGUAUAAGUGGUCUUAACUGGGAUAAAAUGUGCUACCUUCAUCAAACGAUCAACUACUACCCAUAUCGAGUCAUGGCCUGCUUUCGUCCUGGGUAGUCCUGUGAUAAAAUCCAUGCCUAUCUUAUCCCACUUCCAUUCGGGUAUCGGCAAUGGUUGUAACAAUCCUGCUGGCUUCUGAUGCUCUGCCUUUACUCUCUGACAUACGUCACAAACUGCUACAUAUGCUGCAAUAUCCUUCUUCAUUCCGGUCCACCAGAAUGUUUCCUUCAAAUCCAAAUACAUCUUGGUAUUCCCUGGGUGAAUCGAAUACGGUGAAUCAUGUGCCUCUUGCAAAAUCAACUUCCUGAUCUUCGGGUCUUUUGGCACAUAAACACGGUCCUCAAACCAUAGGGUAUCGUGCUCAUCCUCACGAAAUCCCUUUGCUUUUCCUUUGCUCAUUUUCUCUUUUAUAGCAGCAAUCUCCUUGUCAGAUUUCUGAGCUUCUCUGAUCUUAUCCAUCAAUGUUGACUGAAUCUCCAAUGCUGCUACAUACCCUCUCGGAACUAUUUCCAAACAUAGCUCACGAAGGUUUUCUGCUAACUCCUUUGGUAUUUUCCCCGUCAUUAGAGUAUUGACAUGGCUCUUACGGCUCAAUGCGUCAGCUACUAUAUUAGCUUUUUCGGGAUGGUAAUGCAAUCUCAUGUCAUAAUCCUUGAUGAGCUCCAACCAUCUCCUUUGUCGGAGGUUCAACUCCUUCUGAGUGAAAAUGUACUUCAAACUCUUGUGAUCCGUGUACACCUCACAAUGAUUUCCAAUGAGGAAAUGUCUCCACGUCUUCAAUGCAUGCACUACGGCUGCUAACUCCAAAUCAUGCGUGGCAUAAUUCAACUCACGAGGCUUCAGUUGUCGUGAAGCAUACGAAACAACUCUUCCUUCCUGCAUAAGCACUGCUCCAAGUCCUCGACGUGAAGCGUCGCAAUACACCUCAUAAUCCUUGGUCUGAUCUGGCAAAAUCAAUACCGGUGAGGUGACCAAACGUUUCUUCAACUCCUGGAAACUAGCCUCACACUCCUCAGUCCAUUUGAACUUAGUAUCCUUCUUCAACAACUCCGUCAUAGGCUUCGCAAUCUUUGAGAAAUUCUCAAUAAAUCUUCGGUAGUAUCCUGCGAGUCCAAGAAAACUCCGGAUCUCUCCAACUAUUGUUGGUGAUUCCCAUUUGGUUACGGUCUCAACCUUAGUGGGGUCAACUGCUAUACCUUCUCUGAAUAUAACGUGUCCUAGGAAUCCAACUUCCUUCAACCAAAACUCACAUUUGCUAAAUUUGGCGUAUAACUGAUGUUCCCUUAGUUUCUCCAAAACCAAACGCAAAUGUUCCUUAUGCUCCUCUUCAUUCUUUGAAUAAACCAGGAUGUCAUCAAUGAACACUACGAUGAACUUAUCCAAAAACUCCAUAAACACUUUGUUCAUCAGUUUCAUGAAAUAGGCAGGUGCGUUAGUCAAUCCAAAUGACAUAACGGUAUACUCUUACAGUCCAUAUCUUGUGGUGAACGCUGUCUUAGGUAUGUCCUGCUCUCGAAUCUUCAAUUGAUGGUACCCUGAUCGCAAAUUGAUCUUGGAAAACACUUUAGCUCCUUGCAACCGAUCAAACAGAUCGUUGAUCAUUGGCAGUGGGUACUUGUUCUUGAUGGUUACUUCAUUCAAUCCCCGAUAAUCUACAACCAUCCUUAAUGAUCCAUCCUUCUUUUCCACUAGAAGUACGGGUGAUCCCCAAGGCGAUGAACUUGGGCGAAUGUAACCUUUAUCCAAUAACUCCUUAAUCUGAUUCUUAAUUUCCACCAAAUCCUUUAUUGGCAUCCUAUAUGGUCGCUUCGAUAUUGGGCCUGUACCUGACAAUAACUCAAUCAAAAACUCAAUGUCUCUAUCCGGUGGCAUGCCUGGCAACUCUUCGGGAAAUACAUCAGGAAAAUCCUUUACCACUGGUACAUCCUCUUGCACAACUCAUGUUAGGCAGUUUACUUGUGUCCUGUUUGGCAUAUGCCGGGAUACAUACUUGAUCCUUCUUCCUUCUGGUGUGGUAAGCAAAAUUGACUUACUAGCACACUCAAUAUUCCCUUUAUACUUUGAUAACCAAUCCAUGCCUAAUAUUACAUCCAAUCCUUGAGAUUCCAAUACUAUUAGGUCUGAGGGGAACACAUAGUUACCAAUCCUUAAUGGUAACCGAUCACACCAUCGUCUAGCCGUAUACUCCGCUUCUGGUGAGCUUACUAACAUGGGUGACCUAAGGGCUUGGGUUGGAAGGUUAUAUUUAUCCAUAAAUCCCCUUGAUAUGUAUGAAUGCGAUGCUCCAGUAUCAAAAAGAACGAGUGCAGUAAAUGACUUAACCAAAAACUUACCUAUUACUGCAUCGGGCUGAUCUUCAACCUCCUCCACAUUAAUGUGGUUCACCUGUCCCCUAUUGAAAGGGUUCGGCUUCUUCCCAGAGCUUCCAUUGCCAUUUCCAUUCUGGCCUUCAGGACAUUCAUUGGCAUAAUAUCCGGUUUUGGAACACUUGAAACAGGUGACUUGACUCAGGUCUCUCUUGGUUGGGGUCGAUGGGGUGGUCCGGUUCUGGCCGUUGCUUCCUCCAUUCCCAUUACCAUUCUUGUGGCCAUUAUGGUUGUGCGAGCUACCUCCUCCAUGGGUGUGCUGAAACUUAAAUCCCGGUUUAGGGGUAAAACGGGGCUUCUGCUGGGCUCCAGAGUUAUACUUCCCCUGUCCAUACUUCCUUUUACGGUUUUCAAUCUGCUAUUGCUUCCCUUCAAUCAUGAUGGCACGAUCUACCAACUCCUGGUAGUUGUUGAAACUCGCUACCAUCAACUGCAUGCUUAGCUCAUCAUUUAAUCCUUCCAGAAACUUCUCCUGCUUAGCUACAUCCGUAGCAACGUCAUCUGGGGCAUAACAUGCUAACUUGCUGAAGUCGUCAACGUACUGGCCAACUGUCCUUUCUCCUUGGCGUAAGUUGUGAAACUCACGCUUCUUUAUGGCCAUAGUUCCUGCUGAAACAUGGGUAGUGCGGAAAGCUUGCUGAAACUGAUCCCAUGUGACAGUGUCUACUGGGUAAGUGGCUGUGAAAUUCUCCCACCAUGCUGCCGCGGUCGUCAAGUUGGUGAGCGGCAAACUUCACUUUCUCACCAUCCGUGCAUCCUGCAGUGGUCAACUCUCUCCCUAUCUUACGGAGCCAAUCAUCUGCUACAAUCGGCUCGGUGCUACUAGAAAACACCGACGGAUUCAGCCUAAGGAAACGGGCUAAGUGGUCAACAGGUGGUGGUGGUGGUGGGUUGUUGUUGUUCUGCUGGUUCUGAACUAACAUCUGCAUCAAUUGAUUCUGCUGCUGGAUCAACUGAGUGAGCUCAGGUGGGAAUCCGUUGUCACGUCUCGGAGGCAUCUGAGGGUUUAGAAAAGACGAGAAUUAAGAAUAGAGAGAGAUCUAAAGGGAAAACACUACCCCAAUGCACAUGAGCAAAUGCACACAAAAAUCACUUCAUUCAAUCAAACAAGGGCUUACAACGGUCUAACUAUCGCAAAAGUGCUCGAACUAUUGUGUUUACAGGGGGAAUACUACUACUAUCUGGUGGUCUUCUAGAAAUUUGAACCGGUGGAAGACUCCAUGAUAUCCGCUCCAGCUUCGUCUUCAAAGUCGGGUUCACUUGGAUCCGAAUCGGUGUCAUCGAUGAUGAUGUAGUCGUCCGGACAUGCGACGUACUCGUCUUCCUCCUUGGAUCCUAACUUCCUCUUGAGUUCUUCAAUCUCCUGCUUAAGAUCGACAUUGUGUCUUGCUAGAGCUACGAUCUCGUCCAUGUAGUCCUUGCGCGUAGACUUCAGUUCUCCUUCUAGCUCGAUGAUCCUUGCCUUCGCAUUCUUCAACUCUAUCAUAUCAUUACACAUCUGGUUCUCGUGGCGUUGAAUGUGCUGGUUUAACUCCUGGAUGAAAGAUGCAAUGGAUCUAUCCUUCUUGGUGCUGACUAACUCCCAUUGUUCAUCUCGGCGUCCACAAAUCUGGUAGAUAGUGUCCUUGAGGUCUUCUUGAUAAACUUCUCCAAUGCAUCUUAUGGUGAUAUGAGCUGCCAUGCUCCUUCCCAGACUCCAGGUUGGUGCAUUGAAAACACUAUCUAUAGGUUUCGUGAUUGGUGCGAAUGUCCUUCCCGGAACGUGAGCUUGAAUCUUCCAGCGCUCCUCUUCAGGCAGAGUGGCGUUGAAGGUUCCCGUGAAGCUUAGUAAUCCAAUAUUCAGGUACUUGGUGACUUCCUUCAAGUGAAAUCCAAAAGGCGUGCCUUCAUCCGGUUGAGCGUACUUAAUCUUCACGUUCGUCAUCCUAAAUGGGUAGAAAAGAUGAGGAGUUAGAAAAUGAGAAGAGGAUGGUGUUCUAUGGCUUUAACUUGGUGGUCGUGUCCUACAGUCAGCGUGUGCUCUGAUACCAUCUCUGUAGCGACUAGACCUCAAACAGUCUGAUCACUGUGCUCAGGUGUCAUUCCUGGAUCAGUAAUGCUGACACCACACAGUACAUCGAAGGAUUUAUAGCAGAGUGGCAAUCACACACUUAUUACAUCGUUGUCUCAAAGAGACUUAUUACAAUAAAUAUGGCUUUAAGGCCAUAUAGUGUCGAAAACAGCGGAAGACUUGGAAGGUAAAUGGGACCAUCAACUCCAACGGCAUCACUGAGUAUAGGGCCACGACCUAAAAGCACUUUACUCGUCGUCUGAAAAGUCUGCAACAUAAGAAGUUGCAGCCCGAAUACGGGUCAGCACAUGGAAUAUGCUGCAAAGUAACACAUAGAGAGUAAUGGAAUGAAACAGCUAUACUAUAUGCAUAUAUGGCCGAUGAAAAGCUCUAUGGUUACAGUUUUGCGUAAAGCCAAUUUUUCUCUACUGCAAAGGAAUAAAUUUAUUUAACUAUCAUGGUGGUUGUGAAACAUUGAGAAUGGUUGACAGCAUUCUCAAUCCCAAUUAAGUAAUUAAAACCCAACAACAUUAAUUAGAAGUAACAUGUUGAGAUUCACAGGAUAUUCAAGAACUAGAUACUCAAGUUGUCCAUAACCGGGGACACGGCUAAUCAUGAUUAAUUUGUACACUCUGCAGAAAUUUGCGCACUUUUCCCCACAUGACUCGAUCGCCUCCGUUUGUUUUCCCGCACUACAUGGUGUUUGAAAAACGGAUGACCGAGACAUAGUCUUUCAGAAGCGCUAGCACCUUACAUGUGGGGUAGACCGUACCACCUACAACCCCUACAUCUGCUAGUCCACCCCGUAAGAGUUUGCACAACUUAGUCAACUAUGCCAGAGCCCAUAGUAGCAUGUGGCUGCACACGGAAGUUUCUAGCAUGAAUUAUCUUAUGAUCCCUUUGAGCCUGGGUGGCGGUCCGAAAAAAAACAGGCAAGUCCUGAUAGACAUCAGGUGCCUCAAUCCACCCAGAUGUGUGUUUAAGUUGCCACCUUAGAUAAACCAUUAAAAUUAUCAACUCACAUCUGUCAUGGAUUUCACUCACCCAAUCCACAUCUACUAGCAUAGCAUGGCAUAAUAAGCAAACGUAGAAGUAACUCCCAAAGGUUUGAUAAUAAACAGGUAAUAGGUACUACCUCAUCUACUUCCCAUCCCACAAUUUAAUUAGAUCAUAAUCAUGCAAUGUGAAAGGAUUGAUCUAAUGCAAUAAAAUUGGGUUGUAGAGAAGGUAUGAUCAAAGUGUUACUUGCCUUGCUGAUGAUCCGCGAGACCUAGGGUUUCGAAGUAACAAGCGGCGCAAUCCGGGUGAUCUAUCGCAGAAAAAUAACAAGCAUACAAUAAGUACUCAUCUAAUGCACAGGUAAAACUCGAACAAGGGAACGAACCAGAAAGUUCAAUUUAAGAACUCCGGUUGCAAAGAAAGAAAGAACCGAACAGACGACGGAAAAACAAACGGUGGAAGAAAACAACUCGGUUCUAGCAAGUUGAAACUAGGUCAAAUUUUACCGGGGCAAAAACUUGUUUAAAUUGAUUAGACGGAACAGCGGUUUUGAAACGAAACUCCAGGCGCUUGAAUCACCUGAUUCCGAUAAACGAGCGAGAAGAAAGACUAGAACGAAGAUCGGAUCUGAGAUCACGAUUGCGGAAUAAAUCCGACGAAAAGAAAAGAAGAACGAUUAAACGAACGGGCGUCGUUAACCGGGGAAAAAUCGGUGAUCACGUUCGUUGAGACGAACGGUCCGAAAGAAGAACGAAAACCGAUCUAGGGUUUUCGGAGAAAAAGACCGAAACGAAAAACCGAUCUAGAAAACCGGAACGGUUUAGAAAAGAGGAAAGAAAACGAAUCGGAACGAUUAGAAGAAAACGAUCCGAGGAAAAGAAAAGAGACGCGGCGCGGUACCUCCGGCGAGGUCUCCGGUGAGGGGCUCCGGCGGCGGCGGCGUUGGGCGGCAGCGGCGGUGGCGUGGGUGAGGGGCGGCGGCGGUGUAGGCAAGGCGCGGCGGCGGCGGGUGACGCAGGGCGCGGCGCGGGUGAGAGGUGUCGUGGUUCUAAGCCUGACAGUAGAGUGGGGGGUAGGUAUGGAGAGGCAAGGUCCUAGCUAUGGAGAGGUUGUAAGCACAAAGGAUGUACGAGUUCAGGCCCUUCUCGGAAGAAGUAACAGCCCUACGUCUCGGAGCCCGGAGGCGGUCGAGUGGAUUAUGAAUGUAUGAAUUACAAGGUGCCGAACCCCUCUGCCUGUGGAGGAGGGUGGCUUAUAUAGAGUGCGCCAGGACCCCCAGCCAGCCCAUGUAGGAGAGGGUUUAAGGUGAGUUAAGUCUGGGGCGUUACUGGUAACGCCCCACAUAAAGUGCCUUUACUAUCAUAAAGUCUACUUGAUUACAGGCCGUUGCAGUGCAGAGUGCCUCUUGACCUCCUGAUGGUCGAGUGAGUCUUCGUGGUCGAGUCCUUCAGGCCAGUCGAGUGAAUCCUCGUUGGUCGACUGGAAGGCGACCUCUUCUAAGGAUGUCCUGGGGUAAGUUACUUGGAUCAGGUCCAUGACCCUACCCUAGGUACAUAACCCCAUCAUUAGCCCCCGAAUGGAUUGAGGCUUCGAGUGAAGAAGGAGUUGAUGUCGUUUCCGAUUAAUCUUUGUGCUCCGGUUGUGCGCUGUUCUGGACCAAAGAAUCCCUUUGUCGACAGGAAACAACUUGCCUUCAGUCGACUUGAUCCAUUCUGUUUUUGCGUCGAGUGAUCUUUCAGGCUUCGACGAUCUCCGAGCGACGGAUCGCCGGAAACACCGCGCCUGACAGACUGAUUUGUUGCUCGCGGAUUCCGCGGGAUGCGAAAUUUUGGGGCGCGCGCGAAGCGGGGCGGACCGCGGCGUUCGGAUGGGAUGGGGCAUGGACGCCUCGAUCUCCGCGCCACCUUUUUCGCCACGUAUCCUGUCUGCAUAACUGUUCCAGAUAUGAUUAGAUCGACCGGGCCCACCUGUCAUCCACUCGGAAGGGACCUUAUAAAUGAGCCCGGCGAGGAUUUCUGUGCUGCGCCUUAGCAUUCUCCCCCUCUCUCUGCUUCCUUCCUCCCUGCUCAGCGUGCUCGCUCUCGCCCCCGCAUCACCUCCCUUCGCGCAUCUCUCCGGCGACCAUGGCCAAGGAGAAGACGGCGGUGCUGGAGCGCGCCAAGAAGGCGUCGGCGUCGGAGAAGGCAAAGGGGAGAUCCACCAGCCGCGGAGGGUCCUCGUCCAGAUCCCGCCUGCCGAAGGGCUGGGUCCAAGGAGACUGGAUCCAGUCGACCAUCACAGAGAAGGACCUCCUCGACAUGGCCAACGAGGGCUUGAUCCCUCACGGAGCUGCGAGGUUGCCGGGGAAGGAGUGGCAGCCACAGCCAGAAGAGGGUGAGUGUGUGCUUUUGGCCACUCAUGUUGAUCGUGGGUUUUCCUUGCCGCCAAGUAUUUUCUUCCGUGGCUUUUUGAAUUUCUUCGGAGCGCAGCUCCACCACUUUACCCCAAACUCCAUUGCCUAUCUUGCUGCGUUCGUGUCCAUGUGUGAGGGUUUCUUGGGCUGUCGACCGCACUGGGGUUUGUUCAAACAUAUAUUCACGUGUCGAUCUCAGACCGUGAAGAAGGCGAGCCCCAGUGAUGAGAGAACCCGAGUCGUCCAAAUGUGCGGGGGCCUGGGGAUUCAGGUGAGGAAUAAGAGCACCUUCCCGCCCAUGACCUUUCCCGAGUCCGUUAGAGGCUGGCAGUCGACUUGGUUCUACUGCCAGGUCCAGUCGACGCCAGGGCAGUCGAGUGGACUCCCUCCGUUCACCAUGGACCGAGUGAGCAAGCCUUCCCCUCUGAAGCUGAUUCCGGAGGAGAGAGCCGACGUGAAGAUGUUGAUGGAGCGCGUGGUGCAGUUGGUUCGGGAGGGAGUGACAGGCAUGGACCUCUUGGAGGUUUUCCUCAGGCGUCGCAUCCAGCCUCUCUAGUUCCGGAGCCACUGCAUGUGGUUGUACUGUGGGACCGAAGACGAGACCAGAGUCCAUCCAGAAGCAGUCGACGAUGUCACUCUGGAAAGAUGGAUGGCGGCCGUCACCGGAAACAAGGACAACCCACGCGGAGCCAGACGGAUUCCUCCACUCGACCACAACAGUGAUCCAGAUAAGGUACACUUGCCCUGCUCUCCACUGCAUUCUUGUCGCAUUCAUCUCUGUUUGCUCUGUCGACUGGUCGACUGAUCAUUGUCUGGGCAUUUGUUAGGCCCUCACCGAGCUGUACUCGAUGCCCAAUGGGGCACAAGCUUCGACUGAGGAGGGCGAGGCGAGUGGAGGCGAGAGCCAGGAAGAGGAGGAAUGGGACUCGGAUGUCGCAGAGGACGAUGACGACGAUGAUGAUGAUGUCGAUGAUGAAGACGACGUCGAGGACGAGGAAGAGGAGGAGGAGGAGGUCGUGCCACCGCGCUCGGAAAGGCGGUCGAAGCUCGUCCACGACCCUUCGACUGAACGUGGCAAGGGGGUUGCGACGCAGUCGACCAAACGCCCUAGGACCACCUCUCCAGCGCCGACUGAAAAGGCGCCGAAGCAGCCCAGGGCGGCCUCGUCGAAGCCGAUCAAACUCUUGCCGAAGAUGAAGGUGUCCAUCCCUACCAUAUCAGGGUAACCGUGCUGCUCAUAUUUUCUCAUUCUGUGUGAACUUUAUUUCUGGUCGACGCUGAAGUUAGUCGACUGAUCCUUUGGAGUUGCAGUGCUGCUACUUCUGAGACCUCGGCCCGGGCCGAUGAUCACGAGAUGGAGGAUGCGGCAACUUCGAACCCAGGUACUGUAUUCUUAACACCGUUUUUAGUCGACUGACUCGCGACCUCUGAUCCCGAUUCUUCUUCGCAGCUCCGCCCCAUACUGUUAUCAAUCUCCCUGACGACGACGAGGAUGAAGAACCACUGGCACGCAGGAAGAGUCGGAAAACGCCCGCCAGUGAGGUGCCUCAGGAUGUGACGGCGCCUGAGACUCUGACUGUGGAGGAAGGGAACACCACUCGACACACGGUGUCCUUCGCAAAUCCACUGACGAGUGCUCAACAGCCCUCCCUCUUCACGACUCACCACGUCCCAGAGGACCAAGAUGGUGCAGCGAAGGAGGCAAUACGCCAGGCGGGACUCAUGAUGGAGCAGCUGAAGACCAUCCGAGACGCGAGCCAGGCAGCUUAUGACGCCAGCUCUGCCCUCCAAAGCAAUGUCCAGGUCAGUCGACCGCUGUUUGUUCUGUUGGAUAUGCUACCAAAAACUUUUCUUUUCCGGAAUUUAUAGUAAUCACCCAGUGGGUGUGUCGAAUACACUCCGUGUUAGCGGGGGCACGCUAAGUGCACCCGCUGGGUGUAGUCCCCAAGGCUAAGGUCGACUGCUGGCAGUCGGCCUUAGGCUUUAAGAUGUCAACCUUUCUGUCAGUCGACUGGUCGACUGGGUUUCGCAAACCGGUGGGGGCACGCUGAGUGCACCCACUGGGUGUAGUCCCCAAAGCUAAGGUCGACUGCUGGCAGUCGGCCUUAGGCUUUAUGAUGUCAAUCUUUCUGCCAGUCGACUGGUCGACUGGAUUUCGCAAACCGGUGGGGGCACGCUGAGUGCACCCACUGGGUGUAGUCCCCGAGACUGUGGUCGACUGCUUGCAGUUGAUCACAGUCUUAGAGAAUGCAUCUCGCACACCCUUUUUUUUUUUGAGGUCGACUGGUCGACUUUGUCUUCAACAGGAUUAGUGGGGGCACGCUGAGUGCACCCACUGGGUGUAGUCCCCGAGACUACGGUCGAAUGCUUGUAUUCGGCUGUAGUCUUAGAAACGUGUGUUUUUCCCUUUUUCACUCGGAAGUGAAUUAUAUUUGACAUUUAGUCGAUUGGUUCUUCGCAGAACUCUUGUGAUCUUGUGGCUCGCUACUCAGAGCUGGAACAAAAACAUACUCAAGUUGAGCUGAGCUUGAAGCUGGUUCAGGAGAAGCUGACAAAGGCAAAGGAGGAGACCGAAGGUAUGUUUGGUGAGACCCUGACGACUGCUUUUCCCUUUGCUUGUUUCAGCAUCUGAUCUUGCUGUAACUUGUAGGUAAGGUAAGGGAGGCCCAGCAGAAGAAAGACCUUGAGCUAGCUGAGAAGAUCAAGCUUGCUGACGAGAAGUUAGCUUCAGUCACCAAGCUCGAACAAGACAAUACCAAUCUGAAAACUGCUCUUGGGAUUGCCAACAAGGAGGUCAGUCGACUGAGAACUGACAAAGCUGCCCUGACCGACCAAGUCAGCAGAUUGACUGAGAAGAAAACUGAACUGGAGGCCUUCCUGAGUGGCCUUGCCAAGAAGCUGUUUCUUAUGCUUGAAGGUAAAUCUCCAUGUUUGGCAAAUGUUUCCAAUUGUGGCUUUUUCCAUUCGACUAUCUCCUUGACUUAGUGAUCACCCUUGCAGAAUUUUGUCAAAACUUUGAAGAAGAAACCAGCCGACUGGAGCCAAACCUUGACCCCGUCAAUUCUCCGGUGAACGAUGAAGUUGCUAUGGAUGUUUUCCGACUGGAGUCUCGUGUUGCAGCUGUCGUGGACUAUCUCGCAAGGCUGAAGGCUGCCACAUCUCGCAUCGACUCGACGCUCUGGCCUGAGGAGACACUUCAGAAUGAUCUUGAGUCGCUGAUGGCCCGCUUGAACACGAUCCCUGGUCGAGUGCAAGAGUGGAAGAAGUCCUCGGCUCGGUGUGGUGCAGAUGUCGCUCUGUGUCUGGCCCGAGUCCACUGCAAAGAUGCACGAGAAGAGAAGCUGGCGGCCCUUCGGGUGGCCAAUACCAAGAAGCACGACUUCAGGUCCUUUAUGGAGACUUUCCUUGCAGCUGCCACUCGGAUCGCCGACGGAAUUGACCUUGAUGAAUUUGUUGCACCUUCCAGCCCUCCACAGGAGGGGUAAAAACUUCUUCUGGCUCGACGCUUUAAAUUUGCCUCGGUAUGCCGAGUGGAAUUGUAACCGACAAACCUUAACAGGCUUGACGCCUGAGCACUUUCGGUUCCUUUAGAUAUCGAUUCAAACUUGAAUUUGGCGCUUGAAUAUGAUUGCCUUCGGCUCAAAAUGUCUUUUGCAGGUUCAAAGCAAGGUGCCUUUUCUAUAAUCGACCUAUUCUUUGGUUCACUUAGGCGAGCACUGGGCUGCAGCUAAGCCCUCCGAGUGAGAGGGUUGUUCUCCACUCGGCAGGAUUUUUAUACCUUAGGCGAGCACAGGGCUGCAGCUAAGCCUCCGAGUGAGAGGGUUGCUCUUCACUCGGUAGGAUUUUUGUAACUUAGGCGAGCACAGGGCUGCAGCUAAGCCCCCGAGUGAGAGGGUUGCUCUUCACUCGGUAGGAUUUUCACAACUUAGGCGAGUGCUUGGACUGCAGCUAAGCCCCCGAGUGAGAGGGUUGCUCUUCACUCGGUAGGAUUUUUAUAACUUAGGCGAGCACNNNNNNNNNNNNNNNNNNNNNNNNNNNNNNNNNNNNNNNNNNNNNNNNNNNNNNNNNNNNNNNNNNNNNNNNNNNNNNNNNNNNNNNNNNNNNNNNNNNNNNNNNNNNNNNNNNNNNNNNNNNNNNNNNNNNNNNNNNNNNNNNNNNNNNNNNNNNNNNNNNNNNNNNNNNNNNNNNNNNNNNNNNNNNNNNNNNNNNNNNNNNNNNNNNNNNNNNNNNNNNNNNNNNNNNNNNNNNNNNNNNNNNNNNNNNNNNNNNNNNNNNNNNNNNNNNNNNNNNNNNNNNNNNNNNNNNNNNNNNNNNNNNNNNNNNNNNNNNNNNNNNNNNNNNNNNNNNNNNNNNNNNNNNNNNNNNNNNNNNNNNNNNNNNNNNNNNNNNNNNNNNNNNNNNNNNNNNNNNNNNNNNNNNNNNNNNNNNNNNNNNNNNNNNNNNNNNNNNNNNNNNNNNNNNNNNNNNNNNNNNNNNNNNNNNNNNNNNNNNNNNNNNNNNNNNNNNNNNNNNNNNNNNNNNNNNNNNNNNNNNNNNNNNNNNNNNNNNNNNNNNNNNNNNNNNNNNNNNNNNNNNNNNNNNNNNNNNNNNNNNNNNNNNNNNNNNNNNNNNNNNNNNNNNNNNNNNNNNNNNNNNNNNNNNNNNNNNNNNNNNNNNNNNNNNNNNNNNNNNNNNNNNNNNNNNNNNNNNNNNNNNNNNNNNNNNNNNNNNNNNNNNNNNNNNNNNNNNNNNNNNNNNNNNNNNNNNNNNNNNNNNNNNNNNNNNNNNNNNNNNNNNNNNNNNNNNNNNNNNNNNNNNNNNNNNNNNNNNNNNNNNNNNNNNNNNNNNNNNNNNNNNNNNNNNNNNNNNNNNNNNNNNNNNNNNNNNNNNNNNNNNNNNNNNNNNNNNNNNNNNNNNNNNNNNNNNNNNNNNNNNNNNNNNNNNNNNNNNNNNNNNNNNNNNNNNNNNNNNNNNNNNNNNNNNNNNNNNNNNNNNNNNNNNNNNNNNNNNNNNNNNNNNNNNNNNNNNNNNNNNNNNNNNNNNNNNNNNNNNNNNNNNNNNNNNNNNNNNNNNNNNNNNNNNNNNNNNNNNNNNNNNNNNNNNNNNNNNNNNNNNNNNNNNNNNNNNNNNNNNNNNNNNNNNNNNNNNNNNNNNNNNNNNNNNNNNNNNNNNNNNNNNNNNNNNNNNNNNNNNNNNNNNNNNNNNNNNNNNNNNNNNNNNNNNNNNNNNNNNNNNNNNNNNNNNNNNNNNNNNNNNNNNNNNNNNNNNNNNNNNNNNNNNNNNNNNNNNNNNNNNNNNNNNNNNNNNNNNNNNNNNNNNNNNNNNNNNNNNNNNNNNNNNNNNNNNNNNNNNNNNNNNNNNNNNNNNNNNNNNNNNNNNNNNNNNNNNNNNNNNNNNNNNNNNNNNNNNUUGAUAAACUUAGGCGAGUGCUUGCACUGCAGCUAAGCCUCCGAGUGAGAGGGUUGCUCUUCACUCGGUAGGAUUUUGAUAAACUUAGGCGAGUCCUUGGACUGCAGCUAAGCCCCCGAGUGAAAGUCUGGCUUACCACUCGGUGGGAUUUUGAUAAACUUAGGCGAGUCCUUGGACUGCAGCUAAGCCCCCGAGUGAGAGGGUUGCUCUUCACUCGGUAGGAUUUUGAUAAACUUAGGCGAGUGCUUGCACUGCAGCUAAGCCCCCGAGUGAAAGUCUGGCUUACCACUCGGUGGGAUUUUGAUAAACUUAGGCGAGUCCUUGGACUGCAGCUAAGCCCCCGAGUGAGAGGGUUGCUCUUCACUCGGUAGGAUUUUGAUAAACUUAGGCGAGUGCUUGCACUGCAGCUAAGCCUCCGAGUGAAAGUCUGGCUUACCACUCGGUGGGAUUUUGAUAACUUAGGCGAAACGGAUUCGCAGCUAAGCCUCCGAGUGAGAGUCUGGCUCACCACUCGGUAGGAUUUUUACAAACUUAGGCGAAACGGAUUCGCGGCUAAGUCACCCACUGAAGGGGAGUUUUUAUGUGGACAAAAAUAAAAAGUGAUGACACUAUUAUUUCUAAACCCAUGAACUACAGAAGUACUUUAUUGCAACUCAUCCGAGUGAUAAAACUUAAGUGUAAAAUGGGCGGAGUAGCUCCGCGUUCCAAGCUCGGGGCUCGUCGAUAUUAUGCUCGACGUUGUAAAGACGGUACGCCCCGUUGUGGAGAACCUUGGUGACGAUGAAGGGGCCUUCCCAAGAAGGAGCAAGCUUGUGUGGUUUGUGCUGAUCCACUCGGAGAACCAAAUCCCCUUCCUGGAAGGCUCGACCUCUCACAUUUCGGGCGUGGAAACGGCGCAGAUCUUGUUGGUAGAUGGUCGACCGGAUCAGAGCCAUCUCCCUUUCUUCCUCUAAAAGGUCGACUGCGUCCUGCCGCGCUUGUUCAGCUUCUGCUUCGUUGUAGAUUUCAACUCGAGGAGCAUUGUGGAGAAGAUCACUCGGCAAGACUGCUUCGGCUCCAUAGACCAAGAAGAAUGGAGUUCUUCCGGUCGACCGAUUAGGCGUGGUCCGCAGUCCCCAGAGUACAGAUGGAAGUUCGUCGACCCAAGCUCCAGCCGCGUGUUUGAGUUCACGCAUCAGUCGAGGCUUCAGUCCCUUGAGAAUCAGUCCAUUAGCUCGCUCUGCUUGUCCAUUCGACUGCGGGUGGGCGACUGAUGCGUAGUCGACCCGUGUGCCCUGGGAGUUGCAGAAGGUUCUGAAUUCUUCUGAGUCAAAGUUCGACCCAUUAUCCGUAAUGAUGCUGUGUGGGACUCCAUAUCUGAAUAUUAGUUCCCUGAUGAAGCUAACAGCAGUACCGGUGUCAAGGCACUUGAUUGGUUUAGCCUCGAUCCACUUGGUGAACUUGUCGACUGCCACCAGUACAUGCGUGAAGCCACUUCGUCCUGUUCUCAAAGGGCCGACCAUGUCCAACCCCCAAACUGCAAAAGGCCAGACGAGUGGGAUGGUCUUCAAAGCUGACGCAGGCUUGUGCGACAUAUUCGAGUAGAACUGACAUCCUUCGCACUUAUCUACUAUCUCUUUUGCCAUCUCAUUCGCCUUGGGCCAGUAAAAUCCGGCUCGGUAUGCUUUGGCCAUGAUGGUCCGAGAGGACGCAUGAUGACCACAGGUCCCCGAGUGAAUGUCAUUGAGGAUGAGUCGACCUUCUUCUGGUGUUAUGCACUUCUGACCGACUCCAGUCGCGCUUUCUCUGUAUAGUUGUCCUUUGAUUACGGUAAAGGCCUUGGAUCGACGGACGAUCUGUCGAGCCUCUUCCUCAUCCUCCGGAAGCUCUUUCCUCAAGAUAUAUGCGACAUACGGAAUCGUCCAGUCGGGAAUGACCGCCAAAACCUCCAUGAUCAAGUCGACCACCGCUGGGACUUCAACUUCAGUCGGAUCUGUGGCGCUCUUGGGCUGCGGAGUUUCUUCGGUGAAAGGAUCUUCUUUGACUGACAGAGUGUGUAUAUGCUCCAAGAACACACCACUAGGAAUGGCUUCUCUCUUGGAACCUAUCUUUGCUAGAUCAUCAGCUGCUUGAUUUUUCAGUCGGGGUAUAUGAUGGAGCUCCAACCCCUCGAACUUCUUCUCCAGCUUCCUCACUGCACUGCAGUAUCCAGUCAUGGCUGGGCUUCUACGUCCCACUCUUUCAUCACCUGAUUGACCACUAAAUCCGAGUCGCCAUAGACCAUUAGGCGACGGACGCCGAGUGAAAUGGCCAUGCGCAACCCAUAUAGGAGGGCCUCAUAUUCUGCCUCAUUGUUGGAGGAAUCAAAGUGAAUCUGGAGCAUAUAUCUGAGCUUAUCUCCUCUGGGGGAAACCAGGACAACCCCAGCACCGGAACCAUUCAACAUCUUAGAGCCAUCGAAAAACAUGGUCCAAUGCUCCGAGUGAACUUCAGUCGGCUGCUGCUGUUCGAUCCACUCGGCGAGGAAAUCUGCUAUUGCCUGGGACUUAAUGGCUUUCUUUGCCUCAAACUUGAUAUCAAGGGGAAGAAGUUCAAUCGCCCAUUUGGCCACUCGACCAGUUGCAUCUCUGUUGUGCAAAAUCUCUGAUAGUGGAGCGUCGCUGACGACUGUGAUGGAAUGGUCAGAGAAAUAAUGAGCAACCUUCUUUGUGGUCAUGUAUAUUCCAUACACAAGCUUCUGAUAAUGAGGAUAUCUCUGCUUGGAUGGAGUCAAGACUUCAGACAAAUAAUACACUGGGCGCUGAACUUUGAGAGCUUUUCCUUCUUCUUCCCGCUCGACCGUUAGCACAGUACUGACGACUUGUCCUGUGGCUGCGAUGUAGAGCAACAGAGGCUCUUUGCUGAUUGGAGCAGCAAGCACUGGCUGGGUGGAGAGCAGAGCUUUUAGCUCGGCAAACGCUGCAUCAGCUUCUGGAGUCCACUCGAACUUGUCAGCCUUCUUCAUCAGUCGGUAAAGAGGCAGUGCCUUUUCACCGAGUCGUGAGAUGAAUCGACUUAAUGCGGCCAAGCAUCCAGUAAGCUUCUGGACAUCGUGCACUCGCACAGGGCGUUUCAUUCGGAGAAUAGUGCCAAUCUUCUCUGGGUUAGCGUCGAUUCCCCGUUCGGAAACGAGAAAACCGAGUAACUUGCCACCAGGAACUCCAAAUGUGCACUUUGAUGGAUUGAGCUUGAUAUCAUACCUUCUGAGGUUGGCAAAUGUUUCGGCGAGGUCAGCGAGCAGGUCGGAACCUUUUCGUGACUUGACAACAAUAUCAUCCAUAUAAGCUUCCACAUUCCGACUGAUUUGGGUGAGUAGACACUUCUGAAUCAUUCGCAUAAAUGUGGCUCCGGCAUUCUUGAGGCCGAAUGGCAUGGUGAUAUAGCAGAAGCACCCGAAUGGAGUGAUGAAAGCUGUUUUUACCUCAUCGGGUGCGUACAGACGGAUCUGGUGGUACCCGGAGUAAGCAUCCAAAAAAGACAACCUCUCGCAUCCCGCGGUCGAGUCAACAAUUUGAUCUAUGCGAGGGAGAGGAAAGUGAUCUUUCGGGCAGGCCCGGUUGAUGUGCUUGAAAUCAAUGCACAUUCGGAGCGACUUGUCCUUCUUAGGAACCAUGACGACAUUAGCGAGCCACUCGGAGUGGUAUAUCUCUCGGAUAAAUCCUGCCGCCAACAGUCGAGCCACUUCUUCACCGAUGGCCUUUCUCUUCUGGACGGCGGACCGCCGAAGAUGUUCUUUGACUGGUUUUGCAGACGAGUCGACUCUUAGGCGAUGCUCAGCCAGUCCCCUGGGAACACCUGGCAUGUCAGCGGGCUUCCAUGCAAAAAUGUCCCAGUUCUCACGGAGGAACUGGAUGAGCGCUUCUUCCUAUUUUGGGUCGAGUGUUGUGGAGAUGCGGGUCGGAGCUGCUUCGGGGUCGGUCGGGUGAAUGUGAACAGGCUUCGUCUCACCGGACGACUGGAAUGCAGAUUCUGUGGCGGGCUUCUUGGAUCGCAGUAAGUCACUCGGAUCUGCGUUUUGCUUGUAUUCUUCGAACUCGACCGCUGUCACUUGGGAAUCGGCAAUCUUGGAGCCCUUCUGAAAGCACUCCUCUGCCUUUUUCCUAUCGCCGGUGACAGUGAUCACACCUUUGGGACCGGGCAUCUUCAAUUUGAGGUACACGUAACAUGGUCGAGCCAUGAACCGUGCAUAGGCUGGUCUCCCCAAAAUGGCAUGAUAUGCACUUUGAAAAUCCACGACCUCAAACGUCAACUUUUCUUUGCGAAAAUGCUUUGAAUCGCCAAACACUACGUCCAAAGCUAUCUGGCCGAGUGACUCGGCCUUCUUCCCUGGUAUAACUCCAUGGAAGCUCAUGUUACUAGUGCUCAGUCGGGACAUCAGAAUGCCCAUACCUUUCAAUGUGUCUGCAUAUAACAGAUUCAGCCCACUUCCACCGUCCAUCAGCACCUUUGUCAGUCGAGUGCCUUCGACAACUGGAUCGACAACCAAAGCUUGCCUCCCAGGGGUGGCAAUAUGAGUCGGGUGAUCAGAUUGGUCGAAUGUGAUGGGUGUUUGAGACCACUUCAGAUAAUUUGCCUUUGCUGGGGCAACCAUGUUCACCUUUCGGUUAAUCACUUUCAGUCGACUUCUGCUUUCCACAUCUGCAAAGAUCAUCAGAGUGGAGUUGAUAUGCGGAUAUCCUCCCUCACUGUCCUCUUUGUCUUCGGCCUUGUCUGACUCCUUCUCCUUGUCCUUAGACUGUUUUCCCUGAAACUGCUGGAUCAGGAGUCGACAUUGGCGAGUGGUGUGCUUUGGGUAAAUGAUAUUCCCCUCUUCAUCUUUUUUCGUGUGAAUGUGACACGGCAUAUCCAUCACGUCGUUCCCUUCUUUAUCCUUUACCUUCUUGGGGUUCCAGGAUCCUUUUGGUUUCCCCUUAAACUUUCCUUGAGUCACGGCCAGAGCCUCUCCAGGAGCUGCCGGUUCAGCCUUCCGCUUCUGUUUCCGACUGGUGUUUCCUUUUUCCGACUGACUCGGCUUGUGCUUGCCGCUUCGGAGUCGGUCUUCUUCUUCGCCGUUGGCGUACUUGGUAGCAAUCUCCAUCAUCCGACUCAAGGUCAUGUCACCGGUUCGACCAAAUUUCAAACUCAGUUCUCUGUUCUUGACGCCGUCUUUGAAGGCGCAUACUGCCUGAUGAUCAGAGACAUUUUCCACAGUGUGGUGCAAAGUGAUCCACCUCUGAAUAUACUCUCUGAGAGUCUCAUUAGUUUUUUGCACGCAGACUUGCAACUCUGUCAAUCCCGCUGGUCGCUUGCAAGUCCCUUCAAACGUUCUGACGAACACUCGGGACAGAUCUUCCCAAGUGUAAAUGCUGCUAGGAGGUAAUUGAGUCAACCAUGCCCUGGCAGAACCUUCCAACAUGAGGGGCAAAUGCUUCAUGGCCACCUCGUCGUUCCCACCACCGAUCUGAACUGCCACUCGGUAGUCUUCAAGCCAAGUUUCAGGCUUAGACUCACCAGUGAACUUGCUGACUCCUGUUGCCAACCUGAAAUUGGGGGGGGAUAACUGCGGCUCUGAUAGCUCUGCUGAAACAUUCAGGACCAGAAACAUGUACUCGACUGCUCGUGGGUACAUCUCUGUCGAGUGCGCCUCGAUGGGCUCUGUUCCGGUCGACCAACCCUUGCACGAUAAUGGAUCGCGCGUCGAAGCCUGGCUCUCUGGGGUCAACUGGAACCCUACGCCCUGUACUGUACUGACGCCUAUCAUCUGGCUGCCGAGGAGCGUAAGACCCACCCCUCGGAGGGGAAUAGGGCACUCGACGCCUAUCAUCUCGGUCGAGUCUGUCGCCAUAUUGAUCUCGCCGAUUCUCACGCCCUUCGCGCCGCGGAGGCGAUCUGGGGCUGUGAGCCGACUGAACCGUAUUCACAGUGACAGAUCGACUGUGAAUUCUGUUGCGCGACUGAGACACGGCUGAAUUCUGAUCUCCUGCUGCCCGGAGCAGAUCCCUGAUCAGCAGCAAACCUCUGCCAGCUUCCGACUGCGAAGGCUGAAUGGACUCUGCUAUACGGGUCGCAGCUGCUAAAUUCUGAAUUGGGGUUUGAUAUACCUGAGUCGGCGGGAAGAGUUGACGUCGACUGGUGUCGGGAAUUCGUUGUCGCGCGCGCUCGUCGAGUGCUCGCUGAAGGUUCUCCAGUCGAGUGCGCUCGGCCAAAUUGGCCAGACGCGCCUCCUCCAAGGCACGAGCCUCGGGGGUUUCUCCUGCGAUGGGAAUACGCAGGGAAUCCUCGUUCCUGCGGCGAAGCUCUUCUCUUUGCAGAGGGUCGAGUGGCUCGGGCUGGUACUCUUCGUAGUCUCGUGCAGGGUCGCCGCCGUCACCUGCUCCACCACCACGGGCGAAGCCAGGAGGACUGUGGGGCCCGUCGACCAUCAAGAUUUCCGCCGCUGGAUCACUGCUUCCGCACUCGGAUGCAGUCUCUCCGGGACCAGUCGACUGACCGAACAAGCCGUAGAGAGAUUCGUUGGGCUCGAUUGCCGCAACUUGUGUAGUGGCCGAUUGGCGAGCCACCGCGUGACUCACCCAUCGCUGAAGCCUCGACCGGCCUGAGCGCUUGCACUGGCGGGAGACCGGGAGGGUGGACGAUGGAGGAGCCGACCGAUAUUGGGUCGACGGUUUCCGCAGCAAAACACCGCGGACACAUGCGCGAAAAUGCGUCGCACCGCGGACGGGGAGCGCAUCUACGUCGAGUGGAGCCUCCUGGAGCCAUGCGGAGUCGUCGGCGAUGAAGGUGAGAGUGCCGAGACGGAUCUCUUGACCCUCGACCAAAACUCCAGCAGACACCAUGAUGAAAGUACUCGGAAGAAUCGCAACUUCUCCACAAAAUCGCUAAAACACCUGCCCCACGGUGGGCGCCAACUGUCGUGGUUCUAAGCCUGACAGUAGAGUGGGGGGUAGGUAUGGAGAGGCAAGGUCCUAGCUAUGGAGAGGUUGUAAGCACAAAGGAUGUACGAGUUCAGGCCCUUCUCGGAAGAAGUAACAGCCCUACGUCUCAGAGCCCGGAGGCGGUCGAGUGGAUUAUGAAUGUAUGAAUUACAAGGUGCCGAACCCCUCUGCCUGUGGAGGAGGGUGGCUUAUAUAGAGUGCGCCAGGACCCCCAGCCAGCCCACGUAGGAGAGGGUUUAAGGUGAGUUAAGUCUGGGGCGUUACUGGUAACGCCCCACAUAAAGUGCCUUUACUAUCAUAAAGUCUACUUGAUUACAGGCCGUUGCAGUGCAGAGUGCCUCUUGACCUCCUGAUGGUCGAGUGAGUCUUCGUGGUCGAGUCCUUCAGGCCAGUCGAGUGAAUCCUCGUUGGUCAACUGGAAGGCGACCUCUUCUAAGGAUGUCCUGGGGUAAGUUACUUGGAUCAGGUCCAUGACCCUACCCUAGGUACAUAACCCCAUCAAGAGGCGCGGCUUGGGUGGUGUCGGGCUUGGGGAGGAGAGGGGCUUUUGAUUUGAUGUGUUUAGAGGGGGGGUGCUUGGGUAUUUAUAUUGGGGAGGGGGGGUUUACUUGGGGUAGGGGACAAGAAAUAGACUAGGAAUAGGAAAAGGAAAACCAAACAAGGAAAGGGGAGGGGGCUAACCGACCUAAGUCCCGCUGGGACUCGGCCAGGGAGCGGCGGCGGCUGCCUGGGCGCCUGGCGCCUGCGCUGCGCGCGAGGGGAGGGGCCGGCCGGCUGGGCCUUUGGCCCGGCUGGCCUGGCGGGAGGCUCCUUUUUUUUUAAAUCGGUUCCGCGCAGAAAAACAAAAAGAAAAUCUAAACGAACUCCGAAAAAUCUAAAGUAAAUUUUCCCCGACUCCUAAAAAUGAGCCGAACAAAAUGAACUUUUCUCCGGGCCUAAAAUACAAUUUUGAAAACGCGCAUUUUUCCCUAUCCAAAUAAAACGCAAAUAAAACUCCGGCAAAAACCAAAAUUGAUCUAUUUAUUAAAUCUUCAUUUUUCCUAAAUUUGGGAAAGUCAUAUUAUUCCCUCUCUCAUAUAUUUUGACACCGGAAAAUAAUUGAAGAUAAAAUAAAUAAAUCAAAUGAUCCUCUUUUCAAAAUUUGAGAGAACUCAAAUAUGAAAAUAACGAAAUCUCCAACUCUCUCCGAGGGUCCUUGAGUUGCGUGAAAUUUCUAGGAUCAACCAAAAUGCAAGAAAAUAUGGUAUGCAUGAUGAUCUAUGUAUAACAUUCCAAAUUGCAAAUUUGGGAUGUUACAUUUUCGAGGGGUUGUUGGGCCUUAAUGUGAUUUCUUUUGUUGGGCCAAGCACGGCCUCGGCUCGGCCAACAUGAUCAACACGGCCCAUCCUCCACACUGGACCAAAGCUUAUGCAUUUCCAGCCCUUUCCUUCCUUUCUUUUGCUGGGACAUGCUCAUGGGCGGUGCUCGUGUUCCCCUCGUGGGUAUGGUGCUCGGUGGUGGUGGUCGUGUUACCGUUGCAUCGGUGCACGAAUCGGCGCCGGUGACCACGGACAUGGCGUCAUGUGAGCUCGCCUGGCCAAGGGCUCGGGGGUGGCUCGCCGGUGCCGGCGGCAGUCUCUAAGUCGUGACCCCCCCCCUAAUCCAUCGGGCAUUGGCUGGGGCACACGGGUGUGGGUACCUCCUACGGUGGAGGCGUCUAUCCAAACUUGGGGACUGAUGUCGGGCUAGAAGUAGAUGGAUGGCCGUUGCUCUUCCUAUCUUAGUUGAGUGCGUUGUGAUGUGAGCAGCGUACAAUAUCUUGCGAUGGGGGUGUCAGGGCGGCGGCACCGGAUGACGGUCUGCAUGGUUGCUAUACGGCAGACAUCAUCACAGUGGUGGUUGCUCUCCUCCCGGAUUGUGUGGGCAACUGGAGGCAUUGCGGCCAGUAGCUCGGACGUGCCCUCUCUCCGGAGGGGCGGCAUCUUGAUCCAUAUCUGAGGCUCUGACAUCUCGCGCUUCCCCUGGUGGCCAGGUGGUGGCACAGGUGAGUUACCGAGCGAAAGCUCAGUGCCUUCGCGUUGACAGCGGCGACACCCGUGGGUGUCGCGCUCUUCUUGAAGAAGUUGUUAUGGUUCUUCUCUCCAUGUCAGGGCUCCGGAUGAAGACUUUUUGUCCAGUGUGGACUUGGCAACUACCACACUCUGCACCGUUCUCCUUUGGGAGGGGGCGUUGCUGUGGAGGUUAGGUGUGCUAGGAUCGUACGGUGGGGUGCCCAGUUCUUCCCGUGCUCGUUAUGGGUAGCGUAGUCGCAUAUGCGUUUUGGGUGUUUCGGAUGUCUCGGGAUCUGCUUUGUAAGAGGACUACCUCAUCAUCUUGUAUCAUUCAGCUAUGUACUUCUUCGAGUGUUGUUUUAGUUAUAAAGCAGGGUGAAAAUAUGUUUCGAGGUUUUAGUUCGAACUAAAGCUCAACUAAAGUCACGACCUUUUUUAGUUUUGUGUGUGUAUUCUUCCACAGCAGACUAAAAAAGUUGAACACCGGCAAACUGAGCCUAACAUGUGUUUUCGGGAAAAAAGAUAAAAGUGAGAAUAUUCGUUGCCACACCGUGUACACAGGCUGACCGCCUGACCCCACCAAACCAGAGCCAUUCCCGCGCGAAACGCGCCCGCGAAAGUAUAACGCGCGCCAAAAUCAGUCGACACAGCACGCGCCGAGGAAAAAGAUCCCGCGAGGAAGAAAGAGGAGCGACCAAACUCAGCCGCCUCGAUCCGAUCCAUGGACGCGGCGAUGGAGGACGCGGGGAGCGAGUGGGACCGCGGCAGCGGCGGGGCCGACGCGGUGCUGGGCCUCGCCGGCGCCGGCGCCUCGCUGUCGGUGUGCUACCACGAGGCCUUCGGCCCCCACGCCGACCUCAUCCUCCUCGAGGCCGCCGACGACCUCCUCCCCGACCUCCUGCAAGGCCGGUAAGCCCCUCUCCUCGAGAUUACCAAGCUUCUGAUCCAAUCGGUCCUCUUUAUUCAGAGCCGAGCUCUUUUUUCAGAUCUUCGAUUUGGGCCAUUUAGCUGUGAAAUCCCUAGACCAGUCGAUGUAAUAUCUUAGUUGAUAUGUACAGUAGUUCUUGAUUCUUAGCCCUUCAGUCAGAUGAGUACACGAUCUGUGGGCUGUGGCAAAGAGCAUCACCAUGGAAAAACUUAGUUCGUUGACUGUUCCUGAGCCGAAGGCUGAGGCCUGUUAAAUAAACAGUGAAAUUUGCCACAGCUAUGUUAUUAAUCAGAUCUUUGCACCACUAGUCCAGCUUCAACUGAGAGAUCAUUAUCUGUCAUGCUAUUGGUGUACAGUGGGCACACACACGGUGUUUCCAUCUGAGAAAAUUUGAUGAAGAACUCUCUUGAUGCAGGGUGACAGUAAGGGGCCGCCCUGAAGAAGAAGCUGUUCUGUGCACACCAUCGGCGACCUACGCUAUGAAGUUUGUGGGCACAUCCAACUCCAUGUUCCUCAUACCACCCGGUGAAGCUGUCGCGGCAAGCCUAAGACCCGACCAUACCAAUGAGGAUGCUACCGUCGCCAGCGAUGCGGCCGCUUCGACCAUCAAGGUUGCACCAGGGAGCAUCGAAUUAGUCCGAACGGCUCCGCGGCUCGACAAACUCAGCAGCCUUCUCAGGGAGAGGCCAUACGUGCUUGAUGAGGAUCUUGGAGAUGGCUCUGAAGACAAGAAGGGGCUGUACACGUGGCAAGACCUAUGUGUGCUUGUUCAGUCCAGUGACAGCGAGCUGCUGGAGGGGCUGAAUUCCCUCUCGGCUGUCGAGAUUGAUGGGUUCUGGAGGACCGUGGAUGUCGGUUCCGUGAACACGGUUCUGGACAUGAUUCUGCACAACUCCGUGUUGCAUGACUGGCUGCUAAAUGCUUUGCCGGAAAAUGCUGUGCUAUCUGUCAUGGAAUCUGACGGUUUUAUCCAUAAGAUUGUAACCCACUGCCUCAGCAGAUUCGGCACGAAGGUUGAGCAAGAAGGAGGAAGUUGUUGGAGGCUUGAUGAGAGACUGGUCUGCUUGCAGUUUGCCCGAAGAGCGCUCAGCACGGGAAAGAUGAAGCUCAACAGCUUCAUGGAUAAAUGGGAACGAAGCAUCCCUUCAGGAAUGCGUCCAGAUCUUCAGAUGCUUGAAGGGGAAGUGCUGUACGAAAGGCUUGGGGCUGAGACCUGGGUGCAUGCUUUCAGUGUCGCCGAUCUGCCGUUGACUCCAGCUGAGAGGUUUGCGGCACUAUUCCGGGAGCGGCCAAGGUGGGAAUGGAAAGACCUGCAGCCCUUCAUCAGGUAUAAUUUAUACUUCAUUUUUGUGUGUAGAAACCCUGUAGUGUAAUUCUCACAUCUUUCUCACUCAAACAUGUUUCCCAAUGUUCUAUGGUUCAGGGACCUGCGCGUACCUGGUGCGUCUUCAGAAGGGUUGCUGAUCAAGUACACAAGAAGAACGCAACCAAGCGCUGAUGCCGAUCCUAUUUUUACUGCUAGAUAGAUGAUCAACCUACCCUGCUACAAAAUCCAUGUUAUGGUUGUGGCCCUUGCCGCUGCUGGUAAACUGCUGGUGUUGCUGCAUUUGAUCUGGAUAUUGUAGACAACAGAAGAUUGCCGUGGCAGCAUUUCAGGCAAGCUACACAUAGGCGAUGACGCAAGAGGAUUUCUUGUGCCAUACAAAGUGUCUGAUUCUGCUUUUGGCGCAGACAAUUAAGUAAUCUGAAUUUCCUUUCAGUUUCUACUAGAGAUGCAAUAUCUGUACCUGGGUGCACUGCACACUUGUUGCACAUUUACUAUAUAUUUUGUAUUUCAGCAUGUAAGCUCGGUUCUAGCUAGUUAUGUUUUCCAGAUGUUGCCUUCAUAAUGAGUAGCAGUGGAAGACUCGGUAGGCGUCUGAAAACUGAAACUGCGUCGCAGGUUUUGGGCAGGCUGCAAAACUCUAUUGUGGGAGUCAAGUCAUUUCUGUUGUGAUUCAUCUGCAUUUUUUUUUGUAUGGACAUCGGAAUCCAUUGGCUGGAGGAAGAAAUCUGCUUAUCUGCAUGAUGAUUCAGUUCAAGUGCAGUGCAGAAUAGCCAGCCUCUACAUUCUUCUUGCACACGUACAGCACAGAUAAGUUUUUUUUUUUUGGUGUGAGCUGAGGUCGUGUCCGUGUUGAGGUCGGAAUCGGAUUACUUAUUGAAUUUCCAUACGAGGAGGUUUCGGAGGCCGGUGUUGAGUCAGCUCCCUACAUUACAUUACUAAACAGUAAAACUGAGCUAGUUAGGAGCAUCCACAGCGAUUUAAACUCCUUAGCCGUUAGAUGAAGCUCGUGAACGUACUGGAUUCAUCUGCAGCCCCGCACAACGUUUUUACCAUCAUUCAUUACCGUCACGGAUGGCACUAGAUGGCCAGCCCAACUUAGCAGGGCUGCUGCUCUGCUGAUUGAUCCAGGUGCGUUCUGAUGAACUGGGCCAACAAAGGAGCAACGUGACCCGGCCCAGCAAGCCUUCCCAAUGAUUCUGCCAGCCCGACGACCGCCAACAACCGUGUUUUUCGGCCGAGUCUGCUUACACCACCACAUUGGUCGAGUUGCCGUUUCACGUUAAACUGAUUUGUUUUCAUUUGUUUGCUUGCUUGCAAUUGUAGUGGACAACUCAAGUCUGAUUAGUGUAUUACGGGAAGUAUAACAACUUGCAUCAUGGGAUGCGUCCACCCACCCCUAACUUCUCUGGAUAGUACGUACAUAUAUCCUACAGAAUAGUACGCAUAUCCUAGAGAAAAGGAGAAAUAAAAUCUACUCCUCCAUAUAUUCAAAAUGACGUUCGUACUUACAUGCUCUUGGAUAAAACGUAAAUUCACAACAAAUAAUUCAGAAAUUAAAAAUAUCCUUACUAUUUCGGUGUGUUGAUGCUCAACAUAUUGUUUCAGAAAGAACUUUAUGAAACAUGAUUUAAAUAUUUUUUUUCACGCCCAUUGGUCACCCCUCUCCCUGUCUUUCUCCUUAAUCCAAAAAACAUCCCGUGUUUCAGUUUAGACCGAUUCAUAUUACUCUUAUUGCACGAAUGCUGAAUAUAUGGGUAGAGCGUAUUUGAUCCAAAUUCUUGGUUAAUUCAAAUUUGUCAAAUACUUAUACCAUUCUUUCUUCAACGUAGACGGGCGCAGCAAUGCGCGCUUUUAUAUAGUAUGCCAUUGCCACCACACCCGCCGUCUCCUUUCGAUCGAGCGAUCAACGACUAGACUAGAGGGGCCCCGAUCCAUGGCGGUCGUGUACUACAGAUACAGGAGCGAGGUGAAGACGUUCUCGGUGCCGGCGGGCGGCACGGUCACCGUCGGCGAGUUGAAGCGCCUCAUCCUGGCCUCGCCCCGCUACAGCAAUCGUCGGCACGGGCAGAGCGUCGUCAGGCUCUACAAGUCGAUGGCCUAUGAUGAUGAGUAUGACGACGACGCCCAGCCCGUGCCCCUCCACUCCAUGGUGAUCGUGUGCCGCGUCCCACCUGGCCCGCCCGCCGAGCUCAUCGUCAGGGGCACCCCUUCGUCCCCUAUAAUCCCGAAAUCGGUGCAGGAGCGGCGGCAUGGCUCUUCGUCUUGGUCUGCGACGUCCCCGGCCGCGACGUCGUCACCUGCUGCUGCUCCGGUUCUCGCCCCGGCCCCGCCGCCCUCGAUCCCGGUGGACCUCCACUGCAGGAUCUGCGACAACGUCAUGGCCGACGCAGUGGUCGCCAGCAACUGCUGCUUCUGGAGCUACUGCGACCGCUGCGUCAGGGGCCGGAUCGCCGAGACGUCCAGGUGCGCGCGCCGACGAGCUCGUCCGCAACCCGGCGGUCCGCAAGACCAUCGCCAACCUGCUCGCCGCGCUGGACGCAACGGAGAACGCGACGCCGCCUCCGCAGGACGCUCCACACAAGAAACCCGGCGCCGUGUCGUCCAAGCACAGAGACGGCGAUGGCAGCAGCUCAUCGCCCACAUCCAAGACCGCGGCGACGACGACCAUGGAAAACCAUGAAGUCACUCUGUGCAUUUGAAAACCGAACCGAAAAACCAUACCGAAAAUAAACUGAACCGAACCGAUUUUAUGGUUUUUAUAGUUUCUGGUUUCGGUAUGGUAUGAACUUUUCAUACCGUUUUGAACUUUGGUUUAUAUGGUAUAUACCGAGAAACCGAACGGUUAACCGAAUAAACCGAAGUAAAAACUAAAUUUAUAUUUCUUGAGAUAAACAACCAUACAAGCUGUCAUUUUUCUUGUACAUGAGUCAAAUUCACUACUAAGCACGUAAUUUUUUCUUGUAGCAUAGUUAUUUUUCUCUUUUUAAAAUGCUAAACACGUCCAUAACCAUCAACAGAUGAAUCAAUGCAAGCAUAUACACUUAUAUAUAUAGUUAUAUACUAUUUGUGUAAAAUAGUAUGUGUUUUGAGUCAUAAAUUUGUAAGUUAUUAUUACGUCAUUUUCAAAUUCGCGUUAGGUUUGGUUUUUAUGGUAUAUACCGAAACCAUACCGAAAUAAUUUGGUAUAUACCAAAACCGAACCGUAUUUUAAUUUCAUACCGUAUUUACCAAAGUAUUAAUACCGUACAAACCGAAAAACCGUAUAAACCGAAUCAUAUAAACCGAAUAAACCGAACGCACAGAGUGACCAUGAAGCACAUCGGGCUACCUUGCAUCGCCACCAUGGGAGGAAGAGGGCGGAUCUUGAAGACCGCAGGCAACAGGACCGUAGCUUCAAGAGAAGGUGUGGGUCGCCAAGACAGGAGGGCGGAGGCGCCAGGAGCGUAGUUUCUCUUCUGUAAUUGAAAUGAUGAUUACCAGAAUUUAGUGAAGAAAAAUGGGCAUUUACAGCUCAGUCUCUGUAAUUGUAUGCUUCCAACUAUACUAGUAAUAUACUCCUAUAUCAUUCGAAUGAUUUACCAAAGUGUUAGCAUUAGCAAUCGAAAUACGUUUCUGCUGUGAUUCAUCUGCAUUUUUUGUAUAAACAUCAGCAUCCAUUGUUGAUGGAACAUGAGAACUCUAAUCGCGAUUUGUAUCCAAGUCAUGCCUACCUUGCUGUGAUGAACAAGCAAAAGAGCUUUCUCUCGGAACAGGCUUCUGCCCCACUUUAUAUAAAGACCAGAAUGACCAAAUCGAUGCCUACCAUGCCUGUUACUCCCGCCGUUCUUAAAUAUAAGUCUUUGUAGAGAUUUCACUAUAAACCACAUACGGAUGUAUCUAGAUGCAUUUUAGAGUAUAGAUUCACUCAUUUUGCUCCGUACGCGGUCUAUAGUGAAAUCUCUCCAAAGACUUAUAUUUAAGAACGGCGGGAGUAGUAGUAUAUUAGAAGGCCAAGAACUGUGCAUGCUUCAGUUCAUUCGUAGAAAACUUAAUGAUCAGUUAAAAAAGUGUGGAAAAACAAGGCCCAGCUGACUUAACAUGUAAGGCUGGUGCUAGAUAAGUACUUAUGAUUUCAGAUGUUACCUUAAAGGAAUUUACUAUUACGGAUUCAGAAUGAAUAGCAGAGGAGUGCAUGGCAGGCUUCCGAGAACUGGAAUUGCACUGCGCGUAGGUUAACAGCGAGCCUCUGUUUGCGGGGGUGAAUUAAGAAGGCACUGCACAUUCCCUUCGCAAUACAUAUCCUGAACUUUAUAGGGUUCUUCAAGAAUUCAGAGUAACUGUUACAAACCCGGCCUGGCAUUUUUUCCGAGAUGUAAACGGACAUCAGAAUCCAUUGCUGUUCGAAUACGAAUUUGUCGACGGGUCUGAGAUUCCAAACGCGGCCUGUUCUUGGAGUCAUCACAUGCCUAUCUUGCUGCGAGGAACACGCAGAGGCUCUGCCUGUUAUGCAUGGGCUGAAGGAGGAAGGAAUCUGCAUGAUUCAGUUCAAGGGCACCGCAGAAUAGCCAGCCUCUGCAUUCGUCUUGCACACGUACAGUAUGGAUGGUUUUUUUUUUAGUGGAGGCAAAGCAGAAUGUGUGUGUAGGAGCCAGCUGGUGGGCCGGGCUGGAAAGAAGCCCACGGGCCGGUACCUCGGACCGACACGGAGGCCCAUCUACACAAAGCAAGAGGCCCGGCCCGGCCGAAUCCUCCCAGUGUCCCGUUCCGUCUCCCCUUGUCUCUCUCCGUCUUUAGGCUUGGGGCUGGAGAGGAGAGCGCCCCGACUCGUCUCGCUCGUCGGGUAGAAACCCUAGCUUCGUAUAAACCCAAACCCCCCGCCUCGCCGGAGCGGCGGCAGCAGCCGGAGGCGCCGGCCGCCAUGGACGCGAUGCGGAAGCAGCUGGACGUGCUGAUGGGGGCCAACCGCAACGGCGACGUGCGGGAGGUCAACCGCAAGUACUUCGACCGCGACGUCUGCCGCCUCUUCCUCGCCGGCCUCUGCCCCCACGACCUCUUCCAGCUCACGGUACUUCCCAUCCGUCCCCGUCCCCCCAGUCCCCGCGCCCCUCCCUCUCUCCUGGCGCCUGAUUCCGGUCGGUGGAGGAGCGAUUGUUGCCGUCAGGCUGCCUGCAGUAGAUUUGGUUUCAAAUUGGCCCCUGUGCUAUUGCGUUUGUUAGUGGAAUUCAUCCACAGAACAAAAAACCGUGGUGUAUGGCGUGUGGUCUGCUUUGAGAUUAUCUGAAGCAAUUAGUUUCUCUUGUGUUAUGCUGUGAUCUAACCAGCCAAUUUCGCUCAUGACAGAAAAUGGAUCUCGGACCCUGCCCCAAGGUCCACUCGCUUCAGCUGCGGAAAGAGUAUCCUUCGUUUCAUUUAACCACCUCUGUUAUGCGGCUCAGCAUGUUUCGCUUCAGCAAUUUUUUUCUUCCCACGGGUGCUAGUGUUUGUUCAUCGAUUGCCUUCCUGAGCUCCUGGUAGCUAUGAAGAGGUAAAAGCAAAGGGGUCGGAGAAUUUCGACAGGGAGCUCGAGGACAUGAUAGACAGGCUCAUCGUGGAGUGUGAGCGGAAAAUCCAGAGGGCGCUGAAGCGCCUCGCCGACGAGGAUGCCAAGGCUGCUAUCGCGAUAUCUGUGUCCGAGGUCACUCAGGUAUUUAGACGCCCCUGUGUUAUGAAGGCCCAUCUUCUUGUCAGAGGCUAAUGGCUUCAGCUAAAUUGCCUGCGUUCCUGUUGAUUUUGCAGUCUGAAGAAGUUGCGCAGCUGUCAAAGGAAAUCAAGGAGAAGAUGAAAGAAGCUGAUAUCUUCGGUAAUGCCCACCUCAUUCAUAUUAUGCCCAGUUCGUUGUAGUGUUCCUGUUCACGGUAGUCCAGCGGGUUCACGGUACUGUAGCUGUCUUAAGUUUAACACACUCUUCAGCAGACACAGCAUGAAACUACACUGAAAAAACAUACCUGUCUCUAAUAUAUAUUCUCAACCAGUACUAUGGAUGGGAGAUGGUAUAAUUAGUCUCUCAGCAUAGUUUUCAUAAACUAACAAAACGAGCACUGGUUUUAGAGCUGAUUAUAUGGUUUCUUUAUUACGGGCCAACAACAUAGGAUAGGAAACCGCAGGAGUUGGAAAAACAGAGGAAUUGAAAUGUUACUAAAUGUUUCUUCUCGUCAACACUUCCCAAACAGAUUUUGAAGGGAAGACUGAUGAUAAAAUCAAGACCAUGGAAUUGGUCGAAGAAUUAAGAUCUAAAAGGGCUGACCUGCAGGUAUGUAUUAUUUAGAAUUUUGAAUAUCUGUGUUAUCAGUUCUCAUAUAUCUUGCAAGCGCAUGUUACUAAACAGGUAAUGUUUUAGUUUUAAUACGAUAGGUUCUUUUUUCCACUUCAUUGCAGGCUACCCUCUUGCUUGAUGCCUUUAACAAGGACCGAGCUGCAAUACCUCAACCUAUUCCACCUCCUCAAAUGGCAACACUGCCAGCACCUCCUCCUCCUGAUGCUCGUACUCAAGAACUGAUCAAUGAGAAGCUGAGUAAAGCUGAAGCCCUUGGUAUGUUUUUUUAUUUACCUUUUUUCUUUACAAAGUACAUCUAUAGGGUUUAUAUUCUUUUGAAAGCAUAUAUUUGUGUGAGUAAUUGGGACCAAGUUGUGUGAAUUUUCUCCAAUACAUUCUAGCUUUGAAUUCAACCACUCAAUUAGUUGAUUACUUGACAGUUGACACACCAGUAAGAUAUUUUGUAUUGAUAUAUGCUGGAAAUUUUAGUUUGAUAUAUUUGUUCUUUUAAAGGUGAGAAACUAAAAGGUUUUAUUGGAGAAUUGUAAACUUAUCAUUGCUUUUAGUUUUUUUUUUAUCUGGAUCAUUUAGGCGUGACUUGAUGUUUUUGACCUCAGUGCCUGUCGGGGUCAUGUAUUAGGCUUGCGGUAUUAUAUAGAUCUUUACUUAUUGGUACAUUGCACAUCAGUUUCUUCAAUAGUUGGAUAAUUAAGUUUUUCUGGAUAGUUUAUCUAAGCACAAAAAAGUAUGCAGUGAUGUUUUCAUGUUUGUCCAUUCGGUAGGUGAACAAGGGAUGGUAGAAGAAGCGCAGAAGGCUUUAGAAGAAGCAGAAGCUCUCAAAAAGGUAGCUGUUGUCAUCAUUACCUAAUUUUAUCAUGUCUAGCUUUUCAUCUGUAAAUUACUCAAUUGUGGAAGGUUAAUUUAUAUAUUUUUAGCACUACCUUUGCAGAAUAUGGUAGAGAUAACUUGGCACUGUUAGGUCACUGAUACUUCCAUUCUUUUCUUUGUUUUGUAUGAACCAUCACUGAUGUCUCCUUUCCUUGACUUUAUUAUCACCAGUUGGCAGCGGCACGGCAGGAGCCAGUUGCUGAUCCUUCUAAAUACAGUGUUGCUGAUGUCCGAAUUGUGAGUUAUGAAGGGCCAUUUCUUUUUUCUUAUUCGUGUUACUGCAUUAAUUUACACAUUGCUAGCACACUAGGUUUUUCUGCUUAAAUGUACGUUGAUGAUCGUUUAGUUAGUAGCAUAUGUUAGUUUUUCGUACAUGCUGCAGAAAUGCUUCCAACAUUAGUAGUUUCCUUGAUUCCUAGUAUUUUUCAGCCAUUUUACUAUCCGAUGGUAUUUAUUACCAAGUCUUACAUGCAAAGGUUUUCUGCAACCUUGGUAUUUGAUGUGAUUUCUCUCUAUAGUUUCGAAUACUAAUUAAACUCAUGCAUUUCCCAGCCAUUGGCGUUAGGAAAAAGGCUGUAUUUUGCAUAAGUUGAAAUUUCUGAUAAAAUUGAUCUUAUAUUGUACUAUAAUUCACUUCUUGUAUCAGUUUAAAACUCAUUGAAGUGACAGCUCGACUCUUGUGCAUUAGGAUAUCUAUGUUCCUUUUGUAUAUUAUUACUUGCAUGGUUCUCAAAUUAGCUAGCGAGUAAUGGAAUAUAAAGUGUUAUGCAGGAAUUUGUAGUUGUUCCACAAGUGGCUGCAUGAACUUUGUGUAACUAUAUCGUCAGAAUAGAUGAUAUUGGAUACAUAUAUUUAUAAUUUUUUGUGCUAAUGUUUUCCUGUAUUAUUUUCUGUACCAUCCCACACUAUUAAACUUUGGAACUAACUCCUUCAUUCUUCAUCAUAAUUAGAUUUUUGUUGUUAUACAAUGAAGAAUGAAUUCCUGUGUGUCGCAUAUUUUGAUUUAUGAGCUUGUUCUUUUGUGCUGUAAUUGGUAUAGAUGCAUUGUGCAUUCUUCAUGUUCAUGAAUGUGGUGAAUUAGGAAUUGUAUCAUAUGUAAUGUGCUCUUAAGAAUUUGGUCACCGCUAUGGUCUGCAUUAUUUCUGAGGGUUAUCUAUUCUUUUCCUUUUAUUUAUAUCUGAAUAAACAUCUCAUACUACUGCUCAUACGCCCAGCAUUGCUAAUCGUAUCUUCUGUUCAUUCUAUAGACUGAUCAGAAGUUGCGCCUCUGUGACAUAUGUGGAGCAUUUUUGAGUGUCUAUGACAAGUAAUGCCUUUUAUCUCUCACUUGUAAAAUGUUGAUUCAAAUUGGAUCUUUCAGAUGGAAAUGUAUCUCAUGCCAUAUUAUAUACAGUGAUCGACGUCUUGCUGACCAUUUUGGAGGGAAGCUACACUUGGGUUAUAUGUUGAUUCGUGAGAAACUGAAAGAACUCCAGGUACAUUCUUGCAUGCCCAGAGUACAAAUACGAUGGUGGGAGCGAUUGAACAAAGUAGUAUUUCAGAUAUUAUACACAUUAAAACCAAUAAAUCUACAUGAUUCUGUUAACACUUGCAUUCUGUUUUUCAAAAUAGUUUGUGGCUAUUUUAUUUUUUUGCCGUUUUUCUAAGUUUGUUAAGUUGCAAAUUUUGAACGUCUUUAUCAGGUGCUGAAUGUAAUGUCCCAUUUUCUGCUUUAAAGAGUUACUCUGUUUUGGGCCUUUUGGCAUCUGUGAGUUUUCUCAUCUCAAGGAAGAGCCUUCAGGUUCUUGCCUUCUCUAUAUGUUAAUUUUAUCUCACAUUGGAGGGCGCCAUGGUUGUUACGAUAGUCAUGACAGGAAUUAGUCAAUGUUGCAUAAGCGGAAUCUCAUGUGACAAUCGUCCUCCUUCCCAUGGCAACAACAGCUGCCAACUGUAUGUUGACAAAUGUAAGCAUAAGAGUGAGCAGAACAUGGUAUGGAGAAUCAUGUUUACUUAAUUGUGUCAGCUUUCUCAUAUAUACUGAUCAGAAGCUGGAGCUUGCUUUCUGCUUGGUGAUCCAUAUUUUGUAGAGCUGGUGAUAAAUAGUACCGGUUAAGUUACCCUGAAAGCGCACCCUUUUGCCAUCUUUUCCUGUAAGUUACAACCUGUUCAAUAUGCUGCCUGCUCCAUAAAUAUGUAAGUUGUCAUUGUCAGAAAAUCUCAACUGUAAUGUAUCCCUUGCCCUUUUCAUUCCGUCGUCGUAUGAAUCGAGCUAUCUCCACUCGGUAAGCAUCUCUAUAUUGUGAAUAAUGUUAUUCUAAAACCAUGUCAUAUUUGCCUUUUAGGAGGAGAGGACCAAAAAAAGGACCGAGAAACCUGAAGAUGACAGACGGUAUGGUCUUUCCCAGCUUUGCUUUGUUCUAUCAUGGCGAUUAUUCUUAAGCGACGUAAUUUGAAAGUUCAUACUUGGUUUUCCUAGAUCAAGGGAAAACAGCAGGGACCGCAAUGGGCGGGCAUCCAGGGAUAGAGAUGCAGAAAGAAAGGACAGGGUUGAGCCCCGGGAUAGCAGAAGAGACCACGAUAGGGAUCGUGAUAGGCGCCAUGACAGGGACCGUCGCCAUGACCGCGACCGUGAUAGAGACCAUGACCGCUCCUCCCGUGGUAGAGAGCAUGACCGUGAUAGGAGAAGGGAACGCUCUCGAUCCAGGGACCGCAGCAGGUAUUGCUGAAUGUCUUUUUAUUUCCUGUUUGAUUUCAGAGGCUUGCUACUAUCAUAGGCCAAUCCUGACAGUCGUUUUGAUUCUCAGGCGCCAUGAAAGAUAUUGAGUCUGUUGCUCCAUGGCUGGCUGAUUCCCCUGGGGGAUACUCUCGUCUUCCUGCAUGAUAGUGAUGGUGCUUUUUAAGAUAUAUGGUGAGGUUGCGCUUUGUACUGGAGAAAGGAAGAUAGUCUUGAUGUUUGUCUUCGCUGCUGGAUUGUUAGUCACAAACCCUGUGCUCCUGUUAUGCAUCUUUUCUGUCUAUCUGACCUGAUGUUGUGUACUUAUACUGUUUUAUAUGUUACCAACAAUGUAUGAGUUUUGUGUUACUCAAGCCUCCUUGGCCCGGUUGUCAAACUCACAUGUGACGGUAUUUGUAAUUUGCUUAUCUUAUGAUGGUAUGGAGCUAAUUUUCUCCGUCUUGUUAAGGCUCUACUCCUCAGGUGGUUCGUGGCCUAAAGAAUUU